AAACCAGCACCUCAAGUGGUCAGGAGGAUUAUUGGGCCUAAAGCAUCCGUAGCCUGCUCUGUAAGUUUUCGGUUAAAUCUGUACGCUCAACGUACAGGCUGUCGGGAAUACUGCAGAGCUAGGGAGUGGGAGAGGUAGACGGUACUCGGGAGGAAGUGGUAAAAUGCUUUGAUCUCUCGAUGACCACCUGUGGCGAAGGCGGUCUACCAGAACACGUCCGACGGUGAGGGAUGAAAGCUGGGGGAGCAAACCGGAUUAGAUACCCGGGUAGUCC
rnacentral:rRNA from 1 species